rnacentral:rRNA from 1 species
AUGAAAUUGAUGACUACAUCAAGUGCAGGUUUGUCAACAUAUUUGGAAAAGGCAGCACAAGUGGCCUUAGAAUGCAUAUGUGCAGAUUAUAAUAUUUCUGUCAAUGACCACAAUUACUAUGCCCUUGAAGUCACAAAAGAAAGAUUGUUUACAGCAAGAGAGAAGGCCCAGACAAAGCAAUGGCAAUUCAAUAUGGUGCGUCAGCAAGUAACUACACAGCAAAGCGAAUUUGCAAGACAAAAAAUGAUUCUGGCAAAAAUAUGCAACAGUUUCUUUGAUGUAUUACCACUUUGCAUGUAUCCCCAGCGCCCAGACAACAAUGAUCCUAUUAUCACAUACAUAGGCGCACAUCCUCCCGUCAGACGUGUACAAGAAUUUGCAAAAUCACUUUACCACUUUAUCACAGGCACCAAUCCUGUAGGAGGAUAUACUAGGAUGAUCUAA